CGGGUGAGUAACGCGUGAGGAACCUGCCUCAAAGAAGGGGGACAACAGUUGGAAACGACUGCUAAUACCGCAUAAGCCCACGGCUCGGCAUCGAGCAGAGGGAAAAGGAGCAAUCCGCUUUGAGAUGGCCUCGCGUCCGAUUAGCUAGUUGGUGAGGUAACGGCCCACCAAGGCAACGAUCGGUAGCCGGACUGAGAGGUUGAACGGCCACAUUGGGACUGAGACACGGCCCAG
rnacentral:rRNA from 1 species